UCUCUGCUAGUAUAUCGGUGAGUACACGCGCCUGUCAUGUCAAUUCUGUUCCAAAGUGCGGUCGCGCGAAAGCUGGGUUCGACUCCCAGGCAGAGAG